UCAGGCCUAACACAUGCAAGUCGAGCGCGCCCUUCGGGGUGAGCGGCGGACGGGUUAGUAACGCGUGGGAAUAUGCCCAAAGGUACGGAAUAGCCUCUGGAAACGGAGAGUAAUACCGUAUGUGCCCUUCGGGGGAAAGAUUUAUCGCCUUUGGAUUAGCCCGCGUUAGAUUAGGUAGUUGGUGGGGUAAUGGCCUACCAAGCCUACGAUCUAUAGCAGGUUUUAGAGGAUGAUCAGCAACACUGGGACUGAGACACGGCCCAGACUCCUACGGGAGGCAGCAGUGGGGAAUCUUGGACAAUGGGGGCAACCCUGAUCCAGCCAUGCCGCGUGAGUGAUGAAGGCCUUAGGGUCGUAAAGCUCUUUCGCCUGUGAAGAUAAUGACGGUAGCAGGUAAAGAAACCCCGGCUAACUCCGUGCCAGCAGCCGCGGUAAUACGGAGGGGGUUAGCGUUGUUCGGAAUUACUGGGCGUAAAGCGCACGUAGGCGGAUCGGAAAGUUGGGGGUGAAAUCCCGGGGCUCAACCCCGGAACUGCCUCCAAAACUAUCGGUCUAGAGUUCGAGGGAGGUGAGUGGAAUUCCGAGUGUAGAGGUGAAAUUCGCAGAUAUUCGGAGGAACACCAGUGGCGAAGGCGGCUCACUGGCUCGAUACUGACGCUGAGGUGCGAAAGUGUGGGGAGCAAACAGGAUUAGAUACCCU
rnacentral:rRNA from 1 species